GGGGUAGAUGAGCAGGGUAGGCACAUUUCUAACUGUCUGUUGCUUUAGGAUUCUUUGCCUGUAUGCCAGCAGGUGUCAGCAUGACCUAAGAAACAGAAGCUGACUGCCGUGGAUUAAAGCUGUUCUCAUUGAAAGUAUCCUUCUGUAAAGAAAAAUGAGAGUUUGGCAGUGAUUGAGAUAGUUGUUGUCUACAGAAUGUCUGUACUUGUGUGUAAGCGUGGUCCGUAUCCUUCUCUGGAAGGAUAUUUGUUCUGCUCGAAGACUGUGGGAUAUAAAUGUUUUUGCUUAUUUUGACGAUUGGAUGUGCCUUACGUUGUGCAAAAUCCUCAGCCUUGCACAGACAUGCAUGUGGAGUUAGCAGUAACUAGAAGCUACUCCUGGAAGUAUUGAACCUGCUAGAAACUUGAGUCUCUUGCUCAGUGUUACAGCGCUUUACACUGCAGUGUUGUGACAGUAUUUUCUGUGCUCUGUUUAUGGAAAGCUGGAGUUGGGCCUAAUGCAGUAUUUCUGAGUUACUGCCUUAAAACUCUGCUGCCUUGACUUAAAUUUGGCAAAUAAUGCACAGGAACUUCUUGCAGACUUUGGAAUAUUCCACGGAGUGCUUUCAUGGAAGACUUCUACAGAGCAGCCUUUUCUCGUAACGCUAUCCAUCCCUCAGGUCUCAAAUGAAAACAGAAAAAAAGAAUUGUGGUCAUUUGUCUUUUUUAUUGUUGUCUUUAUUAUUUUGUACUGAAUAAAAUCCGAAUAUCUUGGUUGUCCUUUGUUUACACCAAUGUAGAAAUAAAUAAAUUUGGAAGGCAGUGUUAGAUGCAGCACUGAUAUCUGCAAAGUUUACAAGCAGGAGGAUAUAUGUAUCAAGUUAACUGGGAAUUGAAAACUUUGUCUGACAUGCCAGAAUUUCUGUGCAUAAUACAAGUAUUUCUGUGUUUUUUUUCCUUAGAUAAGUUUAAUGCUUAAAUAAGUACUGUAACCACUUCUUACUGUUGCCUACAUAGACAGGAACAUGCCUUUUGAAUAAAAUCAGAAUAAAAUUGUACUCAAAUGUAUUUAUUCAGUUAAGUUCUCUUGUAGGGCAGGAGGCUGCCUUUGCUUUAGGUAAUCUUUUGAGUACAUUUUAUUAUCCUUCUGCACAUGUAUAUAUCUAGCAGUAUAAAUUAGAUUAGGAAUAUAUCUUUCGUUAUUGUUUGAGAUGCCUUAGUUAAUCAGAAGCCAGGCACUGUUCAUUGUACAAUGGAUUUUUUCUGUACAGUGAAAGGUUUGUGAUAGCUGGAAUAAGUUUUCUUUAUGUACCUUUUUGUCUCAGUUGGGUUAGGAGGGUACAAAAUAGAAAUGUAAAAAAAACCAAAAGCAGUUUUUAAUCCUAAAAUAUAUUUACAUUUUUAUCACUUUGAGUUAAUAUUUCAGGAAUGUUGUUAGAUGGAAAACUUCCAAUUACUUUCUACAGGGAAUUAAAUGCUGUACGUUCUUGGAUGUUUUAAAAUCCUUACUAUGCUCUUAAAACUUUGGGAUUUCUGUUUUCCUGAUGCAAACACAAUGAGCAAUCAACUGGGUAAAAUUCUCUGUCAUGCUUUCGUGAAGUCAAGUAGUAUUGGGAACAACCUUGUGAAGCACAGCCAAGCCAGUGAACUCUCAAAAAAUGUGCAGAAUUUCAAAGGAGUUAGUAAUAUUUCUUAAAAAAAAAAGAAACUGAACAAAAAAGCAAAUGUACUAAAAUCAAUUUUGAUAUGAUAAUUCAUAGUUCAAAGCUAUUCACUGUUUCUACAUUAAAAGCAUAAUUUCCCUUUAUUGAUAUGAGCUGCUAUAAAGGGAGUGAGAGAGACAUACUUGUGUGGGAAGAUUGGAAGGGAUUCAAACACAGGAGUUGAAACAAAAUUAGGGAAGGAGCAAGAACAGAAAGGAAGACUGGCUUCUUGGAGAUGGGUCACUAUUCUUGCUCUGCUCUCCACUUCUUCCUUAGGUACUGGGCUAGGUGGUACUGGCCUUUGGCAGGGCCUGGUUAGCCACUGUUACACUGUAGAGUAUAAACGUAUAUCCUAAAGCUGGAGAAAGGGAGAAGAGAGAAGAGGAAUAGCAGAUCAAGGGUAAAUAACAGCAGGAAGGCCAGUGAAGCUAGAGAAGCAGAGGUGUCUGCUUCCCAGGCUGUGCUGAAGCUAAUGGCACUGUGCAGUUCUUCAUAUGCAAAAGCGACUUGGUGAAUGUGGGGUAGAGGGGGAAGGAGGGCGAUCCCACUAGCUGUGUUUGGAUAGCCUUGCCUCUGUGCUUCGAACCUUAAGCACGUUACUCCUAAGAGUACUAAAUGGAAACAGAGGGGAUUUUUCUUCUACUUUCUGGCUCUUUCUUAACAGCUCAUGAAAUUUCUCUGUGUUAAAGAGGGUGUAGUGAUAAGAAGGAAGUAAAGAAUCAAGGACUCUCUGAAAGGGGCGAGAGGUUGCAAUGAUGGGGCCAUUCCUUAUUUGUUAGAAAGGAUAAAACCAAAAAGUAUUACAUUUUGGGGGAAGUGUUGGAGCAUAGCCAGUGGGCUUCAUAAGUUCAGGAGGCCAUUGCAACUGUAAUGUAGGUAACUGCCUGCUGCAAACUUGUGUUUCAGAGGGAAGAAGGAGGAGAGAAACUUGCUUUUAUUGUUGAUGCUAGUUUAGUAUUGGUGGAAUUUACCAAGCCUAUCAAAAAAUGUUAUGGACACAUUUUCAUUUCUCACCCUUAUUUGGGGCUGCUUGAAAUCCAUGUCACUGAUAUAAGUACUAAUUAGAAAUGUUACAGAUGAUAAGAGGAAUUGUAUAUUUUCAGUUAUGUUUCUUUGUUAGAAGUAUAUUAAGUUAACUGAAAUGUGCCUACAAAUAGUCACGGUGAAAUAUGAUGUAUUAUUGAUCAUAAAAAUCAAUAAAGAACAAUGACCACAUUAUUUAUCUGCAGACUAAUGUCUUCUGCCUAAGAGAAAUUGUCAUGCAGAAGUUCAUUAAGUAAUCUCACUGCAGAGGCAUUGUUUCUGAUAGUGUAGUGGUCUGCUGGUUAGGGAAUCAUCUUGUAGAUCAGCACUGCCAUAAAUGCCAAAAGGUUUAUUUUUGCAAGAAUAAAAAUGCUGAGAAUAAAAUUGGAGACAAUUAUCAUGCUGAACAUGGUUUAGGAAAAGGGAUUCAAACAUCGAUUUCAAUAAGGGGCUAUGCAGUCCCGCCUCCACUAAGCAGCUGGUCAGAGAGAUAUUGGAGAGCUAUUGCCAAUCUCCUCUUUUCCAAGUAGAAUAUACAACAUUUGCAGUAUACAUUAGGAAACAGAAUGUCACAACUUCAGUGAUGGGGUGAGUAGAGGAGGCUCCCUCCAUAAGUCUUCUCUGGAUCUGAUCUGUAAUCCACCUUCUAAGAGAUGCUUCUCAGGGAGGAAUGAACAUGCAGGAAAUAGUAACAGCUUGUGUCAGGGGUCAAAUUUUUUUCAUUUUCUCUCAAAAGAAAGGGAAAGAAGCAAUGAAGUUUUAUGGAAAAUGGUGCCUGACUUCUCCUCCAAGUCAAACACAGUGGGGGAGUGGAGAGCAGUCCCUCCUCCAUGUGACUCUACCUGAAGAUGCAUGGAUUCCCAAUGAAGCAAGAGUGACCACAGAUUUCACUGAGAACCACUCAUCUGACAGAGUUUUUCUCCGCUGGUUUCAUGAAGAUACAAACCCUGGCAAUGAGGCCCUAGAGAGCUCUAGGUGGCCCUACCAAACAGGAGACGAGAAGCUGCUCUCUUGGUCAGUCAAGGACUACAGACUCACUGUGGGAACACGAAGACAGACACCUCCAAGAGGUAUCUGAAAAGCAGCCCUUUCUGUGCAGGCGAUGAGCAAAGGCCUCAGCUUUGGCAUGUGCAACAGUGACAGAGACAUGUGAGCUCACCCCAGGAAAUUAUCUCCUGGAUCGUAAGGGCAGCAAACCUGUCCACCAUCCACACGAUAAGUUGCCUCUCCACAACUCUCUCACCAAGUGCUUUUGCAUCAGCACCAGCUCUGUCCCAAAAAGCAGGCGCUGCACAGCCGAGCUCUGAGAAUGGGCUGUAACGCUGCCAGGCUUUUUGCCAGGGCAAAGGGCAGAGGACUUGUUAGGAGACUAGUCCUCUCCUAAAGGAGAAGUCCAUGCAGGCUAGCACAGCGCAAGGCUUUGCAUUAGCUGGCCUUUCUGGUGGCAUGCAGUGAGGUGAGUCUUGGAGAACUGGCUUUGGGUAACCUUGUGUUCUUGGACCUGUGCAAGGGACCUGUUUCUCUUGGCCGUGGAACCUGUACAUAUGCAGAGAGGUUAUGAUCAUGUGCUCCGAGGACUUAGGACUUCUGUCUGGGUGGGAACUGUGUAGGAGGUUCUGGUGAGAUUCCCACAUGAGGUUUCAUUUCAGGUUCCUUCCGCAUUCCAGGUUUGCAGAAGUACAGUUCCUGUGCAAGGUAGAGUCAGACUUUGCCGCCACACCUGUACAUUUUCCCUGGCAAAAGAAGGGAGAAGGCGGCAGCUCUGAGGAGCAGAGGGACAUAAAAGCUGUUGAAAAUGGACAUUCAGGCAUUGUAAAGCUGCUGCUCCAAUAUGGAGCAAAUAUUAAUGGACAUCAUUCUUGGUCCGGAUGGAAGUCUUUGCACCAAGCUUCUUUUCAGGGAUACACUGAGAUAAUAAAAAUACUCCUGGAGAAAGGAGCAAACAAGGAAUGUGAGGAUGACUUUGGAAUUACACCUUUGUUUGUUGCUGCUCAGUACGGAAAGCUGGAGAGUUUAAGAAUGCUUGCGUCCUAUGGUGCAAACAUCAACUGUCAAGCCAAGGACAAAGCCACUCCCCUGUUGAUUGCUGCGCAGGAGGGCCAUGCCAAAUGCGUGGAGCUGUUGUUAUCCGAAGGGGCCGAUCCAAAUCUCUACUGUAAUGAGGAAGAAUGGCAGUUGCCUAUUCACGCAGCAGCUGAGAUGGGCCAUAAGAACAUACUGGAGUUGCUCAUACCACUUACUGAUCGGCUCUGUGACAGAGGAAAAGACAAAGUGAGCCCCGUGUACUCGGCGAUUUAUGGCGGUAACAAGGAGUGCUUGGAAGUGUUACUUCAGCAAGGCUACAGCGCAGAUGCUCAAAAGUGCCUCCCCUUUGGCUGCAGAUCACCCAUGUGCAUGGUUUUCCAAAAAGAGAUUUAUUCCGUCAGUGAGGAUGCCCUAAAUUUUGUUCUGGAGUUCACGAACUGGAAGAGACUUCCUCCAGCUGUAGAAGGAAACCUUUCAGACUACAAGGAGAGCUCCGCUUGGAUUCCAAAAAGUCAUUUUGGGCUUUGUUUGACAACAAACCAUCUGAUAAUAAGAAGGGCCAAUGGUGACCAGUGACACACAGAAGACGAGAAGUAUGAUUUAGGACAGUUGAGAAGAGUUUCUACCACCUAAUGCAGGAAAACAUGCAGUGGUGACAUCAAUGACUUUCCAAAGUGCUGAAUGCCAAGAGGUUAAGGCUCCCAUACUUUAAAACCAGGAGAGUGCAUUUUCCUGGAAGAAACUGAGUUUGAAGGACUACCAUAAUCUGCUCUCUGCUGCAUAGCUCCUAAGGUUGUAAUGGUAAACAAAGACAUUCAGGAAGAGAGUAUCUUUCACAAGGGAACUGUGUAGGGCCUCUUGGCUUGGCAGAUGAAAACCACAGAAAGGUAUGGCAUGCAUUCCAGAUUGGAGACCCAUAUGUGUUCUGGGGUUGAGGACUACAUUAUAAUGUGUUUGGGAGCAAAUUCAUGCUCUGAGGGAAAAUCUGGGACUCUGAACUGCUUCAAUGUUACUGUCAAAGUUUGUGAAGGAAAUAUAUAUAUUUGAAAUCAACUACAAACUAGUUUGCAUUCUCUUAUAUUAUAAAUGCUCCUUAUGUGGGUGUAAAAGUGUCAGCUUAAACAUUUUUUCCAGAUUUCUAGAAAACAUUUUUCUUUGAUUUAACUCAAGAUGCAACCUGUCCCUAAUAGCAUUGUUUCC